rnacentral:tmRNA from 1 species
CUUGAAUUUUUAAUAUUCUUGCUUAUAAUAACAGAUUGUCAGAGCAAUCUGACUAUGACACUAGAGGCUCUGUGAAAUAGGUGUUUUGGACCUGGGGGCAGUACCCAGCACCUCCACCAUAAGUUAUUUGAGUUAUUGGUCGCGGUUGUUUAAUUUCUGCAUUUUUGUACUGAUGGUACACUCUCUGCCGAAAUUGAGCGGUUUUGAGACUUUCAAAUGCUUACUUCUCUUAUGGGGGUGAAACAGGAUUGACAAGGUACAGUAAAGACAGGUAUGUCGUGUUCGGUGAGAUACCACCGUUAUCGGUUCAAAUUUAAAUGAAUGCUAACGAUAAUAACGUAGCUCCUGUUGCAAUGGCUGCUUAGUUGUAGUCGCAACAAACUUAAAUCCUUACGGCUUUGGAUAGCUGUGAGUGGGGUCUGGGCCACCUAUCAACAGAACGGCC